AGCAGCCGCGGUAAUUCCAGCUCCAAUAGCGUAUAUUAAAGUUGCUGCAGUUAAAAAGCUCGUAGUUGAAUUUCGGGAUCAAUAUGUUGGUCGUGCCUCGGUACGUACUAGCUUAUUGGUUUCUCCCUUCUGACGAACCAUGAUGUCAUUUAUUUGGUGUUAUGGGAAAUCAGGACUGUUACUUUGAAAAAUUAGAGUGUUUAAAGCAGGCUCACGCUUGAAUACAUUAGCAUGGAAUAAUGAAAUAGGACGUUUGAUUCUAUUUUGUUGGUUUCUAGGAUCGACGUAAUGAUUAAUAGGGAUAGUUGGGGGCAUUAGUAUUCAAUUGUCAGAGGUGAAAUUCUUGGAUUUAUUGAAGACUAACUACUGCGAAAGCAUUUGCCAAGGAUGUUUUCAUUAAUCAAGAACGAAAGUUAGGGGAUCGAAGACGAUCAGAUACCGUCGUAGUCUUAACCAUAAACUAUGCCGACUAGGGAUCGG
rnacentral:misc_RNA from 1 species